UAGAUUAGCAAGAUUUCUCACACUUAAACCACAAAUAUAUGUGGGUGUUUAGAUACAUACAUGCAUAUUAAAUAUCACCAGUUUUUUAGAUUAGCUGCAAGUCUUUUGAAACGAAGGGAAUUCAUGAUUCAAACACAAGUUUAAUGACAAAUUAUUUACCCAUGUAAUCAAACAAAUGGAUAUCCCUUAUAAGUAGUUACAUGAUCACUUCAGGUAUUCUUCAGUAAGUGAUACAUACAAUAAAUCAUGAUUGCCUCAGACAGCUUCUGGCCUUUAUGUAUAAAAUCACAACUAGCACUUACGUUACUGAGGGACAUUUAAUAAAUGCAAUGGCUCCUAGUUACAAAGUAACAGAAUGAACCAGCUAUAAGCACUGUGCAGUUACUAUAUGAACACAAGAACUAGCUCUUGGCAGUAGCAAUGAACUAGACUUUCUCCUCAAGCAGAGGUGUAUUAAAAGCUGCUCAGCAAUGAGAAGUAGUCCCUGGAUAUAUUCAUAAGUAUAAAUAAAGUUACAGACUCCUUUGUUACAAAAAUGUAAUUAAGGUAAAUAAUAGGACGUUAACAAAUGCUUUGUCAAUCUCUCAAAGGAGAAAGCACAGGAAAAGGAAAAUAGCUGGCCUAACACCCGGCUCAAAUUGUACAGUCUUCUAUCUAUAUAUAAAACUGUGUGAAAUAAAAGUAAGGAUGUUUUAUGUUC
rnacentral:antisense_RNA from 1 species